GAUGAACGCUGGCGGCGUGCUUAACACAUGCAAGUCGAACGGAAAGGCCCUGCUUUUGUGGGGUUCUCGAGUGGCGAACGCGGGUGUAACACGUGAGUAUCAUGCCCUUGACUUUGGGAUAAAUUUAGGGAAAUGGGGCUAAUACCGCGGAGGAGCUCCUGCUGCAUGGUGGUGGUUGGUGAGUGUCGGCGGUUGGGGAUGGACUCGCGGCUUAUCAGCUUGUUGGUGGGGUAGUGGCGGACCAAGGCUUCGACGGGUAGCCGGCCUGAGAGGGUGACCGGCCACAUUGGGACUGAGAGACGGACCAGACUCCUACGGGCGGCAGCAGUGGGGAAUAUUGCACAAUGGGCGGAAGCCUGAUGCAGCAACGCCGCGUGCGGGAUGACGGCCUUCGGGUUGUAAACCGCUUUCGCCUGUGACGAAGCGUGAGUGACGGUAAUGGGUAAAGAAGCACCGGCUAACUACGUG
rnacentral:rRNA from 1 species